GAUGAACGCUGACAGAAUGCUUAACACAUGCAAGUCAACUUGAACUUCGGUUUGGGUGGCGGACGGGUGAGUAACGCGUAAAGAACUUGCCUCACAGAUAGGGACAACAUUUGGAAACGAAUGCUAAUACCUGAUAUUAUGAUUAUAUGGCAUCGUAUAAUUAUGAAAGCUAUAUGCGCUGUGAGAGAGCUUUGCGUCCCAUUAGCUAGUUGGAGAGGUAACGGCUCACCAAGGCGAUGAUGGGUAGCCGGCCUGAGAGGGUGAUCGGCCACAAGGGGACUGAGACACGGCCCUUACUCCUACGGGAGGCAGCAGUGGGGAAUAUUGGACAAUGGACCAAGAGUCUGAUCCAGCAAUUCUGUGUGCACGAUGAAGUUUUUCGGAUUGUAAAGUGCUUUCAGUUGGGAAGAAAAAAAUGACGGUACCAACAGAAGAAGUGACGGCUAAAUACGUG
rnacentral:rRNA from 1 species